rnacentral:rRNA from 1 species
GACGAACGCUGGCGGCGUGCUUAACACAUGCAAGUCGAACGGAAAGGCCCUGCUCUUGUGGGGUGCUCGAGUGGCGAACGGGUGAGUAACACGUGAGUAACCUGCCCUUGACUUUGUGAUAACUUCAGGAAAAUGGGGCUAAUACCGGAUAGGAGCUAUUGCUGCAUGGUGGGGGAUGGAAAGUUUCGGUGGUUGGGGAGGGACUCGCGGCUUAUCAGCUUGUUGGUGGGGUAGUGGCUUACCAAGGCUUUGACGGGUAGCCGGCCUGAGAGGGUGACCGGCCACAUUAGGACUGAGAUACGGCCCAGUCUCCUACGGUAGGCAGCAGUGGGGAAUAUUGCACAGUGGGCGGAAGCCUGAUGCAGCAGCGCCGCGUGCGGGAUGACGGCCUUCGAGUUAUAAACCACUUUCGCCUGUGACGAAGCGUGAGUGACGGUAAUGAGUAAAGAAGCACCGGCUAACUACGUG